GAGAUUGACUUUCUGUAAUAUAUAUGUUUUCACAAUGAAAAAGAUACUGAUUUUAAUUACGUUAACCGUAUUUUUAAUCUAUUUUUACAACUUAUUACAGCUGAGAGCCUCAGGUUCCAAAAAUCUCAAUCCGACCCUGCUACUGUGGUAAUUGUAAGUGAUAAUACCGUAUGUUUGGUAACAAUCGUAGGAACGUAAUCUCAGGGACUAACGCGCUUGUUAACGUAAUCACCAAACGAUCGAGGUGGUAUUCUGCCUAAACCUACUAGGCUAACGUCACCAAGAGAAUCUUUAUUUAAAACGUAAAUGCAUUGAAACUCGCAUUUCCUUCGACAUCAAGGAAUUAUCCGUAUAAAAAUCAUGUUAUCGUUCUGGUUUUCCCAACCCUGAGCCAAGCAAUGCCUUUGUUCGAUGGGAUUAGUAACACAGGUAAGUACACCUACCUGACUAAGCGUCAUUGUUUUCGUUUCAUAAUCGCGAAUGACCGUGACCAAUGGCAGCCUGUCCCGAGUGAUCCACAGACCAGCGAUGCUGCUGACCGUCCGACCUUCCGGAAGAAUAUUUGUUUCGUUCGCUAUAUCAUUUAAAUGGCUGUAGAUAUCGUCAGCGAAGAAGGUUCGUAGAUUCCUGAAAAAUUAUACUCGAAUCAUGUUCAAAAUUGCAUUGAAAUUAUUAUAGAUUUAUCGUUAGUUAUGGUGGUAAAAUGGGUGUUUAAUAAAAAUCAUCACUGUUGUAAACUCUAGCUAUAUUGCCGCUAUUUACUAUAUUACCACUCGUUCUAUAUUGCCAAUUUCACAAAUCCCCCCUGUUGUUAGCUCUUUCGAGGUGGUGGGGAGGCAUUGUAGGGGAAUUCGUGCUGCGGCGGUGAGGUGGUGGGGAUACGAAUAUUUCGAGAUACUGCAGAGUUUAAACGUAAUAUUAAAACCAAUCAUCCCGGUAUAUAGAAAUUGGAACUGGUUGCAAAGUUACGUACCCGAAGAACAUCAAGCCCCAGUUGUCAGUUGGAUUAUCGUGGAGCCAAGGAAGCGCCACAAUGUCGAGUUUAGGCAGGACUAUCGAACUAUUGAAGUAUUCUUGUAAAUAGUUCAUAAUCCAGACAAUCUUGUCGGGCACGUGUUCUAGGGAAUCCAAGUGUUUUUUUGGUGCCCAAACUUUGAUCUCCACCCUUCUACCGUCCAUUUCGUUAAUUUCCUCGUUAGGUGAAAUGCUUGUAAAAUCGGACACCAACAGAGCUAACUGAUAGGUGGACAUUUUCGGUGUCGUUUCAAAGUGAUCCCAUACGAAAUUUUGAUUGUCCGAUCUAAGUAACGAGAAUAAAAAAGUUUAGAAAUAUAUUUGUUAAUCAUUUAAAAGCUAAAAAAAUUUUUUUAAAAGGAUUAAGGAUAAUAAGACUGACAUUAUUUACCAGUUCAAACAGAAAUUGAUACCGAUGGUUACUUACGCUGCGGUAAGUUCCAGAGGGGUGUUUGAAAGAGCGGUCAUGUUCACUGGUCGAAGGACGCUCAAUUU